UCUGUUAAUUAUGAUAAGGUGAGCAGGGUCGUACAGGGCAAAGAAGAAAAUCCAGCUGUCUUCUAUUAGUAGAAGUCUUUUGUAAAUAUACAAACAGAUCCAUCUUCCAGGGAGGAACAGGUACUGGUGGCCCAUCAUUUCACUUGCCAAUCAGCCCCAGAUAUUUGGCAUAGAUUACAAAAACUCCCGAUGGGUCCGCAGAUACCUCUGAGCCAAUUGCUGGACAUGGUCUUUCCUGUGCUCAACAACUGGGAUCCAGGUGAGGGUGAAAAGAGAAGGGCUAAAAUUAUAGAUGUGGCAGCUGGCAAUGCUUUAAAUACAGCCUAGUUGGCUAAAGGAAAACCCAGGGACAACAGAGGAAAGAGUUCCUGUUUUAAAUGAAAGAAGGAAAAAGAGUAAUAAUAAAUGCAAGAUGACUAGAUGCUGCACCAAGCUUUUGCCAAGGCCCUGCUCCAAGUAUCAGCCGGCCAAUGUGCCUGACCCACAGCGCGGACUGUUGACUGUCCCCAGCCCAGAGAGAGGCCAGGUGAGCCAAAAGCCUCAUCUUGUGCUCUGAUGAAGACCGAAGGGGCCUGGGACAACCUGCAAUGUGCCUGUCCAUUGAUGUUACCAUCUCCUGUGAGGGACACGAGGUGACCCUGAAUGUCAUAUACUCCUGAGGAGGAAGAGAUUUUAAACAAAGAACAAUCAAAGAUAAUUCAAAAGAAGUGUGAUAAGAGGAAGAAGAAUACCAAAAUCAGCAGUUCCAGCAGGGCAAGCUCCUUGCCUGCAUGACAUCAAGAAUGGACCCGUGUGGCCAAGCUGAUGGCUUAGACAGCAAGAAGCUGGAGUUCUAUCUGAGGAAAGUCAAGGCCCAGAAAGGCACAUAAGUCCUCUCCCCUGGCAUUGCUCAUGCAAUAAAGGGCCACUCUUUCCAGCUCUGAGACGGACAACUUGUGUGCAGAGCUGGGCAAUCUCCAGGCUUGCUGUAAUUUUCCUGGGAAAGACAGUCCUCUGAAACAGGUCCUGCCAGCAAAAGGGAGAGAGCCUCAGAGAAGAAGGAGGGGAGACCAAAGGCUGCUGGAGUAUGGGGGUGGAGAUGAAGACGGAGGCAGGAGACAAAGGUGCAGCCACUGUCCUGCAUCUGUCGCCAGCCUUUGUUAGAGGUGCACUCUCAAUGGUCAUCAGAGACGACUAGCAAGUGGCCGCCUUGCAGUCUUCAGGCAGCCCCGACACUGCUGAUUGCUCCCCACUCCGGAAGUGAAAGCUCUUGAAGUUCUGCUCUUUGCCCCUGUGUGUCCCUCUAAAUCCCAGCCUUGUGGCUUUGUUCACACCGCUAUCCUCCCGCCUUCGAUCCUUUCAUUUCCAUCUCCUAUGUAAACUCACUUUUUUUUCACAUUUCAUUUUAUUCAUUUCUUUAAAUGCCAGGGGUUGAACCUAGGGGCUUCUCCCCGAGGUAUCUCCCCAGCGUUUUUACUUUUAGGUUUUACAUUUUGAGAUGGGGACUCACCAAGUCACUAAGUCGCCUAGACUAGGCUUGAAUUUGCAGUCCU